GGUGAGGAGGUGUUGGGUGUGGCACCUCCUUUCACUAGGGCAGGGCUUACUGACCUAAAAGGGACACAGCAAGCUGAACAUGGUGCAGAGUCUACAGGGAUGAGAGGCCUGCAAGGCACCAAGUAGGCACGAAGGCCAAAAAAGUAGUGGAUGACCAAGGGCAGACAGACAAUAGCAUAGGGAAUCCAAGACAAAAAUACUCAUCUUCUGAAAACCCGGUAUAAGCAGGGUUCUUUCAAAUGCACAUAAUUAGAUUUAAGCAAACAACAACAAAAGGAACACAUUGGCUCACAUAAUCGAGAAGUCCUGGCACAGCUGACUCCUGCACUUCAAACAAUGCUGAGUGUGCUCUCACCACCGUGCAGUGCUGCUUCUCACUGCACGGUCCCAUUCUCUUGUAUUGCGGCUUCCUCCAUGGAGCAGGGAAAAAUGACCACCAGUAGCUCCAGGUUACAUCGCUCCAGGUUAAAUCCCAGAGGAAGAGCUCCCCCUUUCCUAAAUGCCAGCAGAAGAGUCCCAUUGAGCCAGACUGGAUCACAUGCUAACCCCUGAGCCAAUCCCUUGGUCAAGUGGAGGGACUGCUCGGAUUGGCCAAGGCUGAAUCACAUGAUCAUCCCUGGGUAGUGUCAACUCCACCCAAACCACAUGAAUUGGACAGAGUAGCUGCCCAAAGGAAGAAAGUCUGGGCAGACAAAUAAUCAGUCCACUACAGCACAGUCACUUGUCAGGAAGGCCCCAGAUAACCAAAAGGGCACUUGAGAGAGCUUUGAAGUCAGACAGAACUGGUUUUAAAGGUCAGCUUUGACAUUUACUAGCUGUAUGACCUCAGGUAAGUAAUGUAACUUCUCAGUAACUCAGGUUCCUCAUUGUAAAAUAGUACCUACCUCCUAUAGAUAUUGUGGGAGGAUUAAAUGAAAUAAUUUACAUAAAUUGCUAAGCACAAUGCUUGACACAAAGUAAGUGAUCAAUCAAUGGCAGCUAUUAUUAUCAAAAUAACAAUAAUGACAAUUAGUAUUAUCAGAACAAAGGUACCAUAUGAAGGGUGAUCUGUGACUCCAUGAAAGAGAGGGCAAGGUCAGCAUUUGGAUAAAUCAGCCCUGGGUCAUGUAUCAUUAAGGACAACUGAGGACACAAUGCAGAGGCCCAAAUACAGAGUCAAAGCUAAGAUAACAAUUCAAAUCAAUAAACAUGCUGAGCACCUAUUGUGCACUAAGCACUGGAAAUACAAUUAUGAAUAACACACAUAUGACUCCAAGGUAAACUACCAUGAAGAAUGACUAUGGCUCUGUGACAGUAUUUCUGGGGGAGGAGAGGUUGACUGAGGCUGCUUCUACACUUUCAGCCACAGGCAGGGCACUGGAGUAGUGCUGAGCAUACAACAGAACAAUGCCAUGGGACCAACUACCAGAAUGCGAGGAAGAGACAGAAGGGCUACAAUCCACCGCCCACCCUGCUAAAAAUAAUCCCUCUCCUGAGUCCUGAUUUUCAAAAAUAUUUUUCCCAACUUAUUGCUGACUGAAUUUACUUACCAGACUUUGUGUGGCGUCUUUUCAAAAUCACUUGGAAAAUCUGUUUAUCCCUGUCUUCCCUGAUUAUUUAUUUAAUUCUCUUUAAGAACUCUAGCGAAUUUGUCUGACAUGGUUACCCUCUUUCAAAGGGAAAGACUCUCCUCCGAAAUGUUAUAUUUGCUUAAAACAGUAUAAAUCCACUUUCCCUACUUCCCUACACAUACACUCAUGUAGAAUUUAUUUUAGAUUUCAUUCAUUCCACAAAGUCCAAGGAAAAUUCCACAG
rnacentral:lncRNA from 1 species